GGCACCUCACAGGAAUGUUUCGCACCCCGAUUGGGAUCUCCUCUGCGACAAGUAUAAGGACCCUACAUACUAGGAAUGCACAGCAUCGAUCGAGGAUCACGGUGAUGCAUUGUGGCGGAUCGAAGUCAUUUGCGCAGCAUCAGUAUGAGCUGAGGGACAUCGAGAUAGGACAACUGUCCAAACAAAUUAACAUCUACUAGAAGAUCCAUCGUCGGAUGAUAGGGGAGUGGCUUCCUAGGACUAGGGAGUGGCAUAACUGAAUGAUGGAGAUAUGAUCCCAACCCACCGCUGAGGGCUCCACACUAUCCACAAAUGACGAUAUCUGUGAUGAGGUGCUUGGUAGGAGACCUAGUUAUAUCAUCGGGUUGGGAUAGGCGGUUGCGGCUCCCAGCUACUCUAGAGCAUCACGUGUUUCUUGUGAUGCUUAUCUCCGUGAGGUGGAGAGGAG